ensembl:lncRNA
ACGACACCCUUAAAGUUGUCAUACACCACAUUGUCGAAGCCAGGGGUAGUGGACUUCCUAGUGGAUGGACAGUAGGAAAACAUUUUCUGCAUGCUUCCAUGCAGCCACUUUCUCCUUGGAAGGGGUGUACCUCUUCCGCUGUUCACCAGUUUGGCACGUGGCAAGCCCCACAUGGCCUUGAGGACUUGUUAGGCAUGAAUGCCUUCACUGUUGGUGCAGGAGGGACAAAGCUCUGGCUGCAGGAUGGCCAGAGCUUUGUCCAGGACGGAGGACAGGGCGGAGGGGGCCUGUGCGGGGAGGACCAGCAGUAUGGGUGCUGCCGACACAGGGGGUGGGCCGUAGGUCAACGCAGCAGGUGGCCUCGGCUGGAGGUGGGUGGGCGCAGGAGGCCUCGGCAGAAUGGGGGUGGGCACAGCAGGCCUCGGCCGGGUGGAGGACGACAAACCAAGUGGGCUGAACGGGCCGGUUCGCGGGAGUCACAUCCUCUGGCUCAUCAACAAAUAAUCUGGAAACAUAAAAUACACGUGAUCAGUAUUGAUAUGAGGUGUGUGCUAUUUGCUUUCCACAGCCAACAGGUGAAACAAAGUGCUUAUGACAACUUACCUCCGCUUCUCAACACGUCUCUUUCCAGCCUCGUGAUGGAUGAGCCGGUACUGGACCUGAGGCCGGUCUGGCGGAGGGAGGGAUGUUGGCAGCGCAGGAGCCUCCGGGAACGGUGCGUCCGACAGCACUUUCAGGUAAGAAGGACGUCUCAGAGCUGAUCCAAAGAUACAGGAAGGACGGGCCCUGACCUCUGACCUCCCAUCUGGAGCCUCAUGUGACCCGGCCAGAGGACGGGCUCUGACCUCUGACCUCCCACCUGGAGCCCCGUGUGACCCGACCAGAGGACGGGCUCUGACCUCUGACCUCCCACCUGGAGCCCCAUGUGACCCGGCCAGAGGACUCCCCCAUUUAUUACAUUGGAGGCUUCUGUUAUGUGGAAGGAUGGUAUGAACGUGUGAAUGGGUUUACUAUGUUUUACUAUGUUUACUAUAUUUAUAUAUAUACUAUAUUUAUAUAACUAUUUAUUUAUUUAUUCAUUUUAUCUAUUUUGCACUUAUCUGCCAGCACUUAUCUUUACCCUAUGUGUUUUUAAUACUUCUUGCAUGCCCUUCCCAUGUUUUUAUAUAUAUACAGUAUACAUAUGUAUAUAUUGUGGCAGACGCCAGGGAGGAGUGAGGGGAGUGGUAGGUCUGGCAACCUGCUGGCUCCACCCCCAAGCCAUAUAUGGACUUUCUCACAUUAACGAGGCGAGCCUGGGGAUCGUUAAGCAGGGGUGCUUGGUGCUUAAAAGAGCUAGCAAACGACAGACCGGGGAGGUUGGAGUUGGAAGAGGAGCUAGGACUAUAAGAGGACAGGCAGGAUCUGUGUGAUCGCCUGGCAGUGUGGUACGCCCUGAGAGAGAGAGACAGGUGGAAGGUGUUGGACGGACAUUGAACUGGAGCAUAAAGGACGUGGAUGACCCUUUUCCCACCCUGGUUUUCAUUUACUCGGUAAAUAAACCGUUCUGCGUUUGAACUACUCUGUGUGUUGUGACAUUUUAUCUAUCCGACUUGGUAGCGUGGAAACCCCACACCCACUGGCCCGCUACAAUAUGUAUAUGUGUACAUUUUUACAUUAAAGGGGUUCCUGCAUUAUUCACCCAUGAAUUCUGAUUCAGAUUGCAGUGUGCUCCUCUUUAUUCAUAUAUUUUGUGUUUAUGCACAUAAUUCACUUUCUAUGAGAGGAUGUGUAUGGAUGGGCCCUGCCUGGAUUCCCCUGGGGGUCAGAAAAGGGAAUAGAACAGAAAGUCGACUUACCUUUGCUCCGCGCCUCCUCAGACCCAAGCUGCUGCUCCUACAAUACGAUACAAGACGGUAUUAAAUGAAACUGAUAACAGGGGAUCUGAAAAUAUAACUUCAGUUCUGAUGAACACUAUUACAAUAUUACUAUCACUGAUGAAUACUGUUAUAAUAUUACUAUCACUAAUGUAUACUGUUAUCACUAAUGAAUACUGUUAUAAUAUUACUAUUGUCAAGUUCUCUCCUUUUUUGUGCGUUCUCCACUUGAAGGAGAUUGGUGCAUCCACUCA